rnacentral:rRNA from 1 species
GUAUCCUGGCUCAGGAUGAACGCUAGCUACAGGCUUAACACAUGCAAGUCGAGGGGCAGCGGGAUUGAAGCUUUGCUUCAAUUGCCGGCGACCGGCGCACGGGUGAGUAACGCGUAUCCAACCUUCCGCUUACUCGGGGAUAGCCUUUCGAAAGAAAGAUUAAUACCCGAUGGUAUCUUAAGCACGCAUGAGAUUAAGAUUAAAGAUUUAUCGGUAAGCGAUGGGGAUGCGUUCCAUUAGGCAGUUGGG